rnacentral:rRNA from 1 species
UACAGAGGUCCCAAGCGUUGUUCGGAUUCAUUGGGCGUAAAGGGUGCGUAGGUGGCGCCGUAAGUCGGGUGUGAAAUUUCGGAGCUUAACUCCGAAACUGCAUUCGAUACUGCGGUGCUUGAGGACUGGAGAGGAGACUGGAAUUCAUGGUGUAGCAGUGAAAUGCGUAGAGAUCAUGAGGAAGACCAGUGGCGAAAGGCGGGGUCUCUGGACAGUUCCUGACACUGAGACACGAAGGCCAGGGGGAGCAAAACGGGGAUUUAGAAAACCCCUUGUAG